UCGGCGGGUGGACCUCGCCGCGAGUGGUUUUGUUACGGACGCUCUGUGCCGCGCUGAACAAGUCGUUUCGUAAUUAAAUAAUUUACUCUUAUACAUUGUUUUGACACCAAAAAAUUUAAUAAGUACCAGUGUGUGAUUGUCUUACAUUUAACUAAGUAGUGACCGAUAUGGGUAACAAAAAAAAUAAAGAACUACGGAAGGUGUGCAUGAGAAAACGGAAAAUAAAAGUAGGAAUAAUAAAACCUGCCGUAUUUGGGUCAAGCAGUAAAACCGACAAGUCCAACUAACGAAACUGACCCUAGUGGAACAAGGUACCACUAGAAGUAUCACGCCAAACAUUAUCGAAGACAAUAAUUCGAUUUAUGACUACACCGCUGAUACCGCUGGACCAAGUUCACUCCAAUUCACUCAAAACAAUGAAUCAAGUGGACAGUCCAACAAUGAAGUACAACUGAUGAAUCUGACGCCACUGGAGCUUAGUACUGAAAAUAAGAUACUGAUAGAUGAUAAAAUAAUGAACCAGUCCUUUCUUCAUGCCGCUGAACCAAGUACUUCAGUAUCUCAAAAUGAUGAAUCGGAUGAGUACCACCAGUUUACAAUUGGACCAGAAAAAGAUAAUGAAAAUUAUGAGCCAGUUAAUGGGAGAAGAAUAAUUGAUUUUAACUAUGUACUGACUACUGUCACAAUUAAAAGAAAAAGCCCACCAUAAUGAUUUAUUUGGCUGCAAGCUUGAGAACUGCAUAUUAAAAGAGGAAAAGCGAGCUGGCUUCCUAUCAACAUUUAUAUUUGAAUGUAAUAUGUGUCGUGUUGUUUUACCCCACAAGGGAGUACAUUAGUACAAGGCGUGAGUGCGUGUUUUUUUUUUGUUUUUAAAAUAAAAUCGGAAAAUUCUUCGAAGACUGAAACAGCCGACAUCAAUGUCGCCGCUGCUACUGGAAUAACUGCUACAGGCAUAGGCUUCUCCCAGUUUGAGGGGCUCAUGUCUGCUAUGGAUGUUCCAGUUUUUACAGAAAGGUUUUUUCUAAUAUCCAAGAUUAUGUCUAUGAGAAAUGGGAAAAAACUGAAAUAAAUAAAUACAUAUUUUUACAUAAUAUAUUUUUUUGUAUUUUCAAUCUCCUGUACUAUCCUUUAAAUUUAGCGAUGUCAUAACCUCACAAAUGAUAAAACUCGGUUGACAUAACACAGUUUUUUUAAUAUACCUACCGUAUUAAAAUACUAUAUAAUAAAACUUUUUUUUUUCGAUCUCCCAUACAAAAUUUUAUACCUACUGUGGAAUUUU